UACGUAGGGUGCAAGCGUUGUCCGGAAUUAUUGGGCGUAAAGAGCUCGUAGGCGGUUUGUUGCGUCGGCUGUGAAAUCCCGAGGCUCAACCUCGGGUCUGCAGUCGAUACGAGCAAACUAGAGUGUUGCAGGGGAGACUGGAAUUCCUGGUGUAGCGGUGAAAUGCGCAGAUACUCGAGGAGGAACACCGGUGGCGAAGGCGGGUCUCUGGGCAACAACUGACGCUGAGGAGCGAAAGCGUGGGGAGCGAACAGG
rnacentral:rRNA from 1 species